GCCCGGAUGGUCUAGUGGUAUGAUUCGCGCUUAGGGUUCACCCGAAGCAGCAAUUGCGCGAGGUCCCCGGUUCGAUCCCGGGUUCGGGCC
rnacentral:tRNA from 1 species